AGGCCGUCACAGCCGGCGGCGGCGCGAUUGGAGGAUCCGCCACCACGACACAGUCGCGCGAUUGGCAGACUAGUUCGGUUGGUUCCUCAAUCGGGUUCCAAGAAAGAAGAUGAGUGCGGCGGGUGCGAAGAGGUCCGGCCGAGAUGAUCCCUUGGCCUUGCCGGAGAAGAAGAAGAAGGUGAUUGUGUGGAGAGAUCCGGACGCGUGGGUUAUCAGCGAUGCCGACUUGGCCAAGAUGAAACGCGACGAGGAAUCAGCUCCCCCGCCUGUGAAAAUCUCUUCGCCGUCAGUGAAUCUGGAAGCAAGGCCGUGCUCUCUGCUGCCAAAUUCCUUCUAGGGGUUUCAUCCUCUCUUGGUACUAGAUGACCAGUUGCGCCAAUGGCGUAAAGGCUAAGGGUAAGCCAUGUAUUAAAAGAGUGUACAUUAAUAUUAUUCGGGGACAUAUUGAAACAUAUGAGAAAAAUUUCCACUUACUAUAAGUACAAGCGAUGCAA